UGCGGAGGAUCAUUAUUGAAUAAACCUGAUGGGUUGUAGCUGGUUCCUUCGGGGACAAGUGCUCGCCUGUCAUCUUUAUAUAUUCACCUGUGCACUUCUUGUAGACCUGGAUAACUUUCUGAGGAAACUCAGUUUGGAGGACUGCUGUGUGUUUUGCAAUGCCGGCUUUCCUUACAUUUCCAGGCCUAUGUUUUCAUAUACUCCAUUGUAUGUAACAGAAUGUUUCACUAGGCUUAAAUGCCUAUAAACAAUAUACAACUUUCAGCAACGGAUCUCUUGGCUCUCGCAUCGAUGAAGAACGCAGCGAAAUGCGAUAAGUAAUGUGAAUUGCAGAAUUCAGUGAAUCAUCGAAUCUUUGAACGCACCUUGCGCUCCUUGGUAUUCCGAGGAGCAUGCCUGUUUGAGUGUCAUUAAAUUCUCAAUCUAUCAGCUUUUCACAAAGUUGGUAAGGCUUGGAUGUGGAGGUUUGCUGGCUUCUCAAAGUCAGCUCCUCUGAAAUACAUUAGCGGUACCCUUGUGGAACUGUCUAUUGGUGUGAUAAUAUCUACGCUGUGGACAUCUGCUUUGAAUGGGUUAUGCUGCUUAUAACCGUCCUGUGGACAAUUUAUGACAAUUUGACCUCAAAUCAGGUAGGACUACCCGCUGAACUUAAGCAUAUCU
rnacentral:rRNA from 1 species